ACGGAGAGGGAGCUUGCUCCUUGAUUCAGCGGCGGACGGGUGAGUAAUGCCUAGGAAUCUGCCUGGUAGUGGGGGACAACGUUUCGAAAGGAACGCUAAUACCGCAUACGUCCUACGGGAGAAAGCAGGGGACCUUCGGGCCUUGCGCUAUCAGAUGAGCCUAGGUCGGAUUAGCUUGUUGGUGAGGUAAUGGCUCACCAAGGCGACGAUCCGUAACUGGUCUGAGAGGAUGAUCAGUCACACUGGAACUGAGACACGGUCCAGACUCCUACGGGAGGCAGCAGUGGGGAAUAUUGGACAAUGGGCGAAAGCCUGAUCCAGCCAUGCCGCGUGUGUGAAGAAGGUCUUCGGAUUGUAAAGCACUUUAAGUUGGGAGGAAGGGUUGUAGAUUAAUACUCUGCAAUUUUGACGUUACCGACAGAAUAAGCACCGGCUAACUCUGUGCCAGCAGCCCCGGUAAUACAGAGGGUGCAAGCGUUAAUCGGAAUUACUGGGCGUAAAGCGCGCGUAGGUGGUUUGUUAAGUUGGAUGUGAAAGCCCCGGGCUCAAC
rnacentral:rRNA from 1 species